rnacentral:miRNA from 1 species
GUAAGACCAUAAACUAUUUAUC